AGGUUUGGACGAACAGAUUGAGUUUUAUGUACUUCAUAGAUAUGGUCCACUUUCCCUUUGUGGUGCUGUAACAAAAUACGUGAUGGGUGGGGAAGGAUUUCUAAAAGAAAGGUUUAUGUGCUCAGGUCUUGGCGCCCACGUCUGGUGAGGGGCCUCUGGCGGGGUCACUUGUGGCUGGCCGGUGGCGCCCUCGGCUGGAGCACGAGCGAAGCAUGACCGGAAAGGCAGGAAGAGAGCGGGUCAAGGAGCCCCCAGGCUGCAGCUCCCGGCUGCUGGAGACAGCCGUGACCCACGGGCACGGGCGGACUUCGGUGGCCUCGUGACCAUCUGCUGGCCGCCUCUUCCACUCCACGCCGCGGGACCAGGGGCAGUGCUUCCACCCGUAACCGCAGGGAGCAAACCGUCUCAGACCAUGGUCACGGACCCAACACCAAACUCAACACGGCCACUUACUCAAAGGAAUUAGGGAGCCGGGCUGUCAAGAAGGGGUGCAGUGUCCAGUGAGCUGUGCUCUGAACCGAGAGGCUCAUCUGUGUGGAAAGGGCCUGGUGGAGAGAAGAGGCUGAGUGAGCCGUCACCUGUGCAGCAGGCCCUCAGCUUUGGGCUUUUGGCUGCGAGCCAUGUGGCCCUUGCUGCUUGUGGUCUACGUUAGGGAUCUGGAGCUGAGAAGAGUUUUGGUUUUUGUUUUGGGGUUUGAGGGUUAAAACUAAGGCCUUAUGCAUCCCAAGCAUGUACUGUACCAUGGAGCGCCCUCCCCAGGCCAGGAAGAAGAUCUGAUUUUCUUUUUAAUACACCAGGAUGGGAUG
rnacentral:lncRNA from 1 species